GAUCACUAGAGAGAGUGAAGAAUCGCUUCAGUUCAUUCAAACUGUGCUGUGAAACAAACCAUGAUCUCUUCAUCUUUAGUGUUGCUUCUGGCAGUGAUAUCCUGUAUUGAUUCAUAUGAACUCACUCAGCCUGAGUCUCUGAUUGUCCGUCCUGAUGCCACUCUCACUAUCAACUGUAAAGUCUCUUAUUCAGUUACAAGCUAUGCUACAGCUUGGAUUCGUCAGCCUGCAGGAAAAGCUCUGGAGUGGAUUGGAGUGAUCUGGAGUAAUGGAGGCUUAUACUACAAGGAUUCCCUGAAAAGCAAGUUCAGUAUCACCAGAGACACGUCCAGUAACACAAUAACACUGCAAGGACAGAAUAUGCGAGCUGAAGACACAGCUGUGUAUUAUUGUGCCAAAGAAACACAGUGACAGACACCAAUAGCCUCCCUGUACAAAAACAUCAUCAUCGUAUUACAAAUUAAAAGUGUUUUUGAUGAUUUUCAUCAUUCUGGCUUAUACAGAUGCACAGAAAUUGUUUGAAGCUUAUCAAAAAAUUAUAGACAUUAAUUCAGCUG